GUGUUGAUGACAAUCUCGAGACAGUGGAUUUGAGAGUGUUGAGCCAUCAUCAAAAGCUAGAGUUUUGGAUCAACAUGUUCAAUGCGUGUAUUAUGCAUGGAUAUUUACAACAUGGAGUUCCAAAAACAACUGAGAAAUUACAAUCUCUUGUUUACAAUAAGGCUACAAUAAAUGUUGGAGGCAAAAACAUAAGUGCUAAUACCAUAGAGCAUUGUAUUCUACGGAAGCCUGCAAACUCUACCAUGAGUAAGGAUCGCGAAGAAAUGAUCAUUCGUAAACUAUACGGCAUAGAAACAACGGAUCCUAACAUCAUAUUUGCUCUCUCAUGCGGAACUCGAUCCUCUCCUGCAGUAAGUUAUACUUAAAAAAAAAAGGGUUAUACUCACUUUUGUUAAAGCAAUCUAUUACAAUGAACCUUUUAAUGUCUAUACUUUGAAUUAACUUAUAAGGUUAAUUAGCAUUCUUAGUAUCAUUAGAGCAGUGUUGUAUUUUUUAUGUUCACUAUUUCAAGCACUUGAUAGAUAAAAUAGAGAUCUGUUAUAUAUAUAAAAACUGUACAUUAUCAUUUUAAAAUUAUAGAUUAUCACAAUUAAUGGUUACUUAUUUAAUUUUCUAACAAUAAUAUUGAAGGUUUGACGGGAUGAGUCAGCUCUACUGGUUAGAGCCUUGGGGGCCAAAUGUCAUGCUUCCGGGUUCGACGCCAGCCGGAGGCGAACUGCUCAUCCCUGUUACUAAAGUGGGUACUGGGCCUUCGGGCUCAGGGAAAAACCUCCCGGGUGAAGCUGGCCCGCUGCCUGACCGGGCCCAGGGAAUGACCCGCGAAGCGGGGAACCCUGGAUUA